UUGAACUGAAGAGUUUGAUCCUGGCUCAGAUUGAACGCUGGCGGCAUGCCUUACACAUGCAAGUCGAACGGCAGCACGGGUGCUUGCACCUGGUGGCGAGUGGCGAACGGGUGAGUAAUACAUCGGAACAUGUCCUGUAGUGGGGGAUAGCCCGGCGAAAGCCGGAUUAAUACCGCAUACGAUCCACGGAUGAAAGCGGGGGACCUUCGGGCCUCGCGCUAUAGGGUUGGCCGAUGGCUGAUUAGCUAGUUGGUGGGGUAAAGGCCUACCAAGG
rnacentral:rRNA from 1 species